rnacentral:rRNA from 1 species
GACGAAGGAUGCAAGCGUUAUCCGGAUUCAUUGGGUUUGAAGGGAGCGUAGGUGGCCUUAUAAGUCAGUGGUGAAAUCUCUGGGCUUAACCCAGAAAUUGCCAUUGAUACUGUAGGGCUUGAGUACAGUUGCUGUGGGCGGAAUAUGACAUGUAGUGGUGAAAUACAUAGAGAUGUCAUAGAACACCGAUUGCGAAGGCAGCUCACAAAACUGUAACUGACACUGAGGCUCGAAAGUGCGGGGAUCAAACAGG